AGGUAGAAGCCCUGCGAUCGACGACCGUUUCAAGAUCACCGCGAUCGAACCCGCGGACUUUUAAUCCAUAGGUUCUGGGUUCGAGUCCCAGGCGGCCCACCA
rnacentral:tRNA from 1 species